CUUUGUUAUUACUUGCUGCGGUGUUGCAGCUGACUGUAUUCCACAGACUUCCACAGAGGAAAAACAAAUGAACCUUGGCAAUGCUAAUGCCAAUCUGUGUGGGCAUUAUAAAGCAGGCAAGUUCUUUGAUACAGGCAUAGGGCACGUAGUUGCCUCAAGCAGAAAAUAGUAUCUCGCAACAUGUUGAGCACAUGUUCUUACGAAUGUUUUAGGCUGGUAAAUAAUUGUACGUGUUGUGGUUAAAAAAAAUCCCAGGUUAACUAAGUAUAGUGACUCAAAUGCUUUUCGUUUGGGUGCAUCUUUAUUUUGCCUGUUUACACCGCUGCUUAGAAGUGUCCCAGAACAAUAGGCUGCAAAUGCUUUUAUCUGGCAGGAAAAGGCCGCCUUCAGCCACCUGCAUACUUCAGAUGAGGGGGGAUGGUUCCAAAAUGGGAACAAGAUGUCCAUAAGUGGAAUCCUUGACUUACCUCUUCUAGCAACAGUUUUUUUUUUUUUACAAGUGCAGGAAAAAAAUGUUGCCUGCUUUUCAGAGUGCAAGAGGUCAUAGGCAUUCAACACACUUGGCACACUCCUCGUGAGGAACAGGAGAGCAGUUGGCUGCUCUUUGUAUAUAUGUAUACGUGUACAGAUGCUGCGGCCUCUUUUCUACACGUGUUAUCUUUUGCCAGACUUCGUUUGUGAGUAUUACAACAUAAGAUAAAAGCAGUAUAUUCCCCCCCCAAGUUUCACAUCAGCAAUUUGAUCAACCUUCCACCCUGAGCCUUUCGACUUGGUAACUGCAGUCUGUGUAAAUGAGGAAACUGUCCUCAUCUCAGCACCCUCAGUCACAGUGUCAGCACAUUUGCUAGGGAUGGGUUGCAACGCUGCCUCUGAAAAACACGAUCUUUAAGCUCUGCAGCUUGUGGAGAUGAUCUGGUUAUCCAGUUCAGCCUUUGGUCUGGGAUGGAAAUUCCUUAUGUAGUUUCUUUUUUUUUUUGUCUGAGUAAAUGUGGAUAACGCAGCCUCUGGUUUUGCUAGAAAUACAUCUCUAGCUGACUAAUCCUGCCAGCCUACGUAAGUGGAAAACCUGGCAGCCUUGAAUAAUACCACAGUAUUUUGACACAAGUGUUUACUGAAAGAAAAAAAACAAAGUAGGCUCAAUGCUCUGACUGCAGAAGGCCCCCAAUACAAACUUAUCAGUAGAGGUGGCAACUGAAGUACUUUGGAACCUUCCUCGUUGUAGCUGUCACUACUUGAAGAGAGUUACAGUUCUUGAGUGUGAGAAAGCAAGAUUGACACAGCAGGAGUGGUAUUUUAGAGCUGGAGAAGUGGCUUGCUACAGCUCUGUUUAUUAGCCCUGGCAGAAGAAAAUUGUGAGUACAUUUUUUUUCCUUUUUUUUCCUAAUUCCUUACUGUUAUUUCCAUACCCUCCUAUAGACUCCAAACUCCUUGUAAAGCCAGUUUUAAUGUAAUAAUCUGCUAUUAACAGAGAGCGUUUCAGUUCUUCAGGCUUGCCACAGGAGCCCACAUACUUUCCCACUGGGCCUUUCUGAAUCUUUCUGAAUGUAGCAUCUCAGAGCAGGAUCAACUUUUGCACCUGGAUGGCCUGGCAGCUGCCUGGGUCAGCAGCCCUGCGUAGUGUUUUUGACAGGUACAACAGCUGCUUGUUUACAAGGAAAACCUUUGAUAGCAAUAUCAUAACUACAAAGCAGAAGAGGAGAUGUCUCUUAGCAGAAAAGAAAAAAAAAAAAAGUCUUGUGUAACAACAUCCUGUCCUUCUGCAUCUGGGCCAUCAGCUGAUUCUGGUGUUUCUUGACUCUGUAUUGUUCUUGAUGUGUCAGGAGCUGACUGCUUUCUCAAGGCCUCUCUGAAAGCAAUGUUGGUGCGUUGAUGCAAUGGCACUCUUUUCUCUCAUUCCAUGUCGGUGAAGUUCAUUGUUGGUCAUCUUGUUAAAGACCAGUGCCUGAUCUGGACUUUCAUCUUGUUAUCUUGAUGUUAUGGAUUGCACCGGAAUGCUGCUCUUACUACCACGUUUUCACCUGGUGUUACUGGUAGCUGUUGCAUGGGGCUUGAAAGCUGGAGGAAUCAAAGGUGGGCUCAGGAUGUCUCACAGGUGGUUAUCAGUCUUCUUCCUCUGAAAAUGAAUUUUUUUUUACAAUGCCUGCUCCAGGCCAAGCUGUCAGGCUCUUCUGAUUUCUGCCGACCUUUUGUCUGCCAACACCCAAAGUCAGGUGGGUGUGUGAACCAUAUCCAGCUGCAGCAGGUGAGCUGGGUGUGUUGCUCCAUCAUGAGACCCAGAUACUGAGGGAUGAUCUUGAUAGAUGGCGAGGUGUCCUGAGGGCAUGGGCCGACCAAGUUUUAGUGGGUGUUUUGUUUUUUUUUGGUUCUGUAAAGAGGGAGGCUGCCCCUAGGCAACGUGUUUGCAUGUUCCCAGGAGCAGCCAUGCAGCAGUCUGAGCUGCACACAAACAGGAUCCCAACAUUCAGGUCUCCGCCCACCGUAAACACAGUGAAGGUCAGGAAGCUUAUGUGUUUAUACUGUGAAUAUAGGAACUGCAUAAGCCUCAGGAGUUUAACGUGACAGGGACUAAAGCUAAAGGAUGUGCUUUACUUGUAGUCUGAAUGUUGAGGUUAGUAACAUAGCCACAGAAAGUAGCAAGGAGGAUCAUUUGCUAUGGUGCACUGUGUGGCAGAGGGCAGUUGCUCUAGAAGACUCUUGCUGUGUUCCUUUAGCUACUUGGCUUCUUCAGUCCUUCUGCCCAGGGAAGGCAGCUUGCAGGUUAACGCUCAGCAUGCCUUUUAUCUUAGAAACGAGUGACCAGGUGACAGAAUUAACUUAAAAGAAGAUUCUCAUUCUUCCUUCUUUGGAUGUUGCUGCGUGAUGGCUACACAACCAUACCACUUCCCAUACUGGAAUUUUUUUGGAAGUCCCGUGGUCUCUGUCCCAUCAUAGUAAUAAACCCAAUGUCUGUGUAGUCAGCCUGAUGUGCUCAGCUCCAGGGCACAGCACCCGUGCUGCUGAAGGAGUCACCUGCUGCAUGGAGCUGACCUCGAUCCCUAGAUGGAGCCUGCCAGGGGAGGAAGCAGGCCUGGAACAGAGAUGCACAAAGGUACUGCCUUGUGACAGCUUCCUGGGGGUGCAGGAGAGCACUUUCACCUUCCUGGAGGUAGGGAGAAGGAUUAAGCAUUAAGCUGGACAAGACUAAGUGGCUGCAUGCAUGCACUAAUCAAAGCUUGUAAGCAGAAAGCCGUGGAGGCUGCCCAGGGAGAUGAGUCACCGUCCCUAUUGGUGUUCAAGAACCGUGGAGAUGUGGCACUGAGAGUCACAAUUAGUGGGCAUGGUGGGGUUGGACUGAUGGCUGGACUAGAUGAUCUUAGUGGUCUUUUCCAACCUUAAUGAUUCUAUGGCUUUGUGUUUCCGGAUCCUUUCUUUUUUGUUAGUAUUUGUGUACAGAAAUGCACGUGGAGCUGUGCAUCCAUCCAUAGUGAAAGGGAUUCUUCCCUUCCCCCACCCCCUGCCCUAGAUUAAGUCCACAAGCGUCUGUGUAAAUACAGCCGGCCUCAGACUCACUUCCUGAGGGAGCCAUUUCCUGACUUGUAGGGCGCUCGAGCAAGUGCUCAUUCAUGCCAUGAAUCAUAAAGGUAACCUCCGUUCAAAGCGCUGUGCCAUGCUUUGGCUUCCUACAAAAAACGGGUUUUGUUGUUGAACACGGCCUGCUGCCAUCAGCUGUGCGCCUACCCUUGGAACUGUUCCCGUGGGGUUUUUUGAUCUAUCUUAAAAGAGUAGUUCCCAGCUGCCUGGACGAAAGGUGGCUGCUGAAGGCAGGGAGGCUGUCCGGGAGCGGUAUGUCUGCUGUCGUGCGUCAGGCAUGAUGCAUUUUUAGAGUGGUGUUAGCCCCUGCAGGACCUGUCCCUAUGUUCUGAGGUGUGCUAGAGGGAGGGCUAGUGCAGGAGCACCCGCUGCCAGCCCCUGCCUUCCCCUGAGCCCUACAGAGCUGUGGGAGGAACCAAACCCCUAUGUCUGUUGGUCUCUGGCUGAUGCACCGGGGUGCAGCCCUGGUGCCUGCCACAGAUUGCAGCCCCCGGGUGAAGAGCAGGCCACGCUUAGCGCACAGAGUUGUCUGUGGGCCAGCAGGCCCACAACAGCACCUUGGUUUUCCUUGUGAGACCCCAGCAUGGCCCUGCCAAGGGCCCAGCUCAGCUGCCUGCCCUGAGGAUGCCCAGCUCUUCCCCUGGGGCUCCCUUGCAGGACAACUGGCAACAGACAUAUCCAGGCUGGGCUCUUAGUUCUUGGUGGCAACUCAUUCUGGCCUGUGGCCCCUCUCUGGCUGCCUUCCCAGUGCUGCUCUGGCCUCUGGUCCUUCCCAGGGUAACUGGGAGAGCCGUCACGCCUUGACCUCCCCUGCUUUCCAGGUUCCUCUGCUACAGGUCCUUCAGGCUCCUCAUGUGCGGUUACUGCUGCGGCUUUUAUCACUGAUCGCGUGACUGUGUUUCCUUAAAGUGCAGGCAAUUAUUACCUUGAGAGCCAGAGAACAGUAAGUUCAGUCUUUUAUGUUCAUUUAUUUGGAACGUGGAGCUUUUCAGCUGGGUUAAUUUGUCACUGUGGCGGCCCAGUGGCCUCACUGACCUGUCCCGGGGCUGGGCUCUGUGCCAGCUUCGUACCUCCAGCUGCAUGGCUGGGCUCCCCAGAGUCCCUGUUGCAUUGCCCUGUGCCAAGGCAGCUGCCUGAGGCUGUCCCCAGCCACACAGCAGCGUCUCCUCUGCCAAGGACAGGAGGCAGUGAGAGCAUGCAAAGAAACUGUGCUGGCUCCUUUUUGUGUGUGUGUGUGUGUGUGUGUGUGUGUGUGCCUCCCUACUGUCAUUUAAGGUCCUUCAAUGGCUGCCAGUAAGGGUGGGUUUCUGGCUCCAUCUCUUCUCCUCCCUUAGUCACGGUGUCACACGAUGGCUGAGGGACCUCUGGAGGUCACCUGCUCCAACUCCUGCCCAAGCAGGGACACCCAGAGCAUGGUGCCUGGGCCACGUUGGGGUGGCAUUUGGAGAUCUCCAAGGAGGAGGCUUCAGCUCUGCAGCAGGGGGGAGGUCAUGCUGCUCCCAAAGCUAAAGCCUUGGGGGCAUUUUCAUGAGUGACUUACAGCCAGGUGAGGGCUGUAUGGCUUCUGCAGGGACUGAGGCUUUCCUUUCAUUGUUCCAGGUAACGUAUUCUUCAAGCAUUUUGAGAUUCAAACGUUUUAACUUCAGGAAAGGGAAACGAACAUGAGAUGUGACAAACAUUCCUGAAGGACAACUGUGUUGUACGUAGUAAGGUGGACAGAAGAGCGGCUCACCUCUCUUAGGGUGGGGAUUUACUUAUAGGUUUAGUCAUCAAAUCUAUUGUCCUAAGGAAAAAUGAAGAACAAAAACAAACAAAAAACAGACUAGAAAAAUGGAGCUUAAAGCAAAGAAGAAACUAACUGGGCCUCUCCGGUUAGUUACGCUGCCCUAAUUGUUUAACGUGCUCGAGCCAUUGGUUAGUUUCCCGAAAGCAAAAACUCAACACCCUGAAGUAAUUUAUUGUAUGAUAAUUCCAACCUGGUGCUUGUUUUGGAUUUACAAACGCUGUGGAAUGCUUUGCUGAAAAGAGCACCAGAUGUUUCUUAUGGUGCGCGCUUGAAGGUCACAGCUGCAUCUCGUAACUUCAUAGCAGAUGCAGCAAAGGCAAAGAUUUCCUGCUGGGUGCCGGGCUGCCAGCACGUUGUUUACCUCAAGGUGAACCAGUUUGGCGGUGAUGGGUCGUGGUGGGGCAGGAAAGAGCAGAUAGGCCUCAUGCAUUGGAGCCUCUGCCUGAAAAGGAACCAUUGAGUUUCGGAUUCCGGACUGGUAUUUUUAUGGCUUGUUUGAAGGCACCUGGCACUGCAGGAAUCGUUGGUGCUGACCCAUCGUGCCUCACUGUGGAGCAGCUGGAGGAAGGCGUUCCUGAAGCAUGGGAUUUUAUGCUUGUCAGUGGUGCCCAGUGGCAGUACCAGAGGCAAUAGGCACAAACUGCAGCACGGGAGGUUCCUUCUGAGCACUGGGCAGCACUUAUGUGCUAUGCAGGUGAUGGAGCACCAGCUAGGGCCACCCAGAGGCUGUGGGGUCUCUUCCUUUGAGAUCUCUAAAAGCUGCCUGGCCGUGGGCCUGGACAUCCUGCUCAGGGUGUUCCUGCUUGGACAGGACCUGAUGGACCCAGAGGACCCAGCAGCCUCAGCCAUCCUGUCAUUCUGCGAUUCAGUCCCUCUGAGCACAGCAUGCAUCUGCAGGGAAGGGCGCACAACAUGCAGCGCUCAGUUGCAGCGGGUUGUGGUACAGGCUCUGCGCCGCUGGCUGCCUGCACCGUGCAGGGGGACAUGGCCACGGUGUGUGGAGGCAAAGCUGGUCCUGCUGGGGCAUGCAGCAGGGAUCCUGAGGACGUCCAAUGACAGGGUUUAAAGUGUUUUGGCUUUGCGCAGCGCAAAGCAACAGCCAAGUCCAAAUGGCAAGGAAAGCAGUGCUGGGGAUGUGGUUGUUGCACAUCUUCCUUGUGCAUGCAGGGCUUCCCCUGGCCAUAGCUUCCUGCAGGUCUUCUGGUCAGAUUUUAGACAGUUUGGUGAUGGCAAGCUUGGCAUGGAAAUGCAGAAUCAUUUUACUGCUUCCCUGUACUGAGAAAGUCAUCACCUGAUGCCUAUAAAUCCUACAUUUUUGCUUAUGGUAAGGUUUUCUUCUCUGGGACUCUCUAACCUUGGCCUCAUUCACUUUCAUUUGAACUGGCUGCACUGUGUCAUGCAGUGGACUUCAUUCCCUUGGCCUUGUUUACAGUCUGCCAGGUCUUGGAGAUAGGUCAUUACAUAAGAUGGGUGUGUUUCCCUGCAGGGCUGAGGAGCAGUGUGCUGACUGCUGUUACCCAUGGAACCUUCAGCCAGUCUGGUCUCAAGGUGAAUUAAUAGAGUCUUACUUGUUUGGUGCUAGCGCUUGUUUCUGUCUCUCUGCCAGGCCUGACUGGUGCUGCUCAGGCACAAAUAACUCCCGCUUGUGAAUCCAUCAAUGUGUGGCUGAAGAGAUCGAUGGGAGGUAACAGUAAACCAGGGGAUACUUGAUAUAUCCCAAGAAUUUAUCAAUGAGAUGUCUUGUUUUGCAAAGUAAGAGCCUUCUGUUUCUGGGCUGCUCUCAUGGCCGGCCCUGCACUGCUGCAGGCCCUCUUCCUGCCCUUCCUUCCCACUGCAUUGGCAGUCCCCACAUCUCAGGGACCCCAGAGGAGACACCAAUGGGCUCGCUCUGGCACCCCCUUGGCCAUUCCCACAUUGGAUGGGUGUCUGUAAGGGCCAUUCUGGGAGUUUUUUCACUGUUUCUUUGCAGUUUGGCCUGUGCUGAUUAAGAUCAAUCUAGUAACCAAUAGAAAGUAGCGGUUUUUAAGGGGCGAGGCGUGUUUUUUUCUGUAAAUGCAGCAAAAUGUGUUCUGGCUGGGUGGUGGUAAAUGUUCUUGCAAAUCUGUGUUGGCCUGAGCCAGGAAGUUAGUCUGGGGAAAAGAGUGGAAUUCAGCUGUCCAAACUGAUUGCUCGCACCAAGAUUGAGCCCGUAAACCAAAACUGGGAAGGUUUUGUGUUUCCUCCUGUCCGUUUGUUUGCUGUUGCUGCUGUGCCAGUCACUGGAACAGGGCUGAUGGAAAGGUUCGUGGUGAUCACGAAGACCCAGAGUUGAGUUUGACCAUCAUAAGCAAAGUUAGAGGACGGCAGUUCUAAGGUGCCUUUGCAGCGGUAGUGGGAUGCCAAGUGACAACAACCAGCUUUGAAAGUCCUCCCCCUUGCACUUUAACCCAUGUGUUUUGAAAACACCUCCGCUCCUUGGGAACUCUGCUGGUGGGCGGGCAGUCACCUGCUGCUGCCCCUAUGGCCUUUCUGUGUCUAAAGGGGGGUGGUAAGAAUGAAGCAGCCAUAAGCAGUGUCUGUUGUGAUAGGACAAGGAGAAAUGGUUUCAAGCUAAAAGAGGGGAGGUUUAGAUUGGCCGUAAGGAAGAAGGGUUGUACAAUCAAAGUGGUGAGGCACUGGUACAGGUUGCCCACGGAGUUGGUGGGUGCCGUGUCCCUGGAGGUGCUUGGUGAGGCUGGACAGGGCUCUGAGCACCCUGAUGGAGCUGUGGAUGUCCUUGUUCAUUGCAGGGGAGUUGGACUAGGUUGCCUUUAAGGGUCCAGUCUAUGAUUCUGUGACCACUGCCUUGCGCUAGGGAACAAGCAGCAGACCUUGCCUCACUGCUGCCAGUUCUUCUGGCUCUGCUUGGGAGAAGGAAGAGAGCCUUGGGAACUGGACAUGUGGUUUCCUUCUGAGCGAACACAGCCAGCUCACAGCUGCUUGGUGAAUGGUGCAAACGUGCAGGCGUCCAAGUGCAAACAAACAAUCCGUGUAACUUAGAGGCAGUUCUGCAGCCAAUAUUUGUUUUGCAUUCUCGUGAGUUAACCACCCCCUGGGGCUUUUCUAUCUUAAAUCCUUAAAAUUAAACUGAGACUGGUGUGAAGAUGAAUGUUAUCUCCCUGCCCUAUUUUCAGCUGAGAGGUGUACCUGCGCUCCGUUCAGCUAUCAGAUAUGGCUGUUGUUUCUGCCUGCAAAGAGCGUGGAUCAGCUGGGCCUUGGGGGCAGGGAAGGCACGGGGAGGGAGCUGUGCCUGGGUGGCAGAGUUGCAGCCUGCUCCGAGAUUGCACAGAGAUUAAAUGCUAACUGUGUUUUGUUUUGUUUCAGAGCACCUGAUGCUUUUAUUGAAAUUACAUCCUCUUCUCUGAAAUAGAGUUCCUAAAGUCUGUUGGAGCAGCCUUGCCCGUGCAAGCGAAGCCAUGGCAGGUUGCUGCAGCACUGGGGAGGCUGCAAAGAGACCCGUGGGCCAGGGGCUGCAGUGGAAUAGGGCAUGGGGGCACAGGGUAGCACCAGGCAAGGGGCAGCUUGUUCCAUUCAGCUGUUGCAACAUUUCGGGCUCCUGAAGACACUUUGUAAGGUUUCCUCCUUUGGAAGGAGGCUGCACAUGUCCUGGUGUUUUCCCAGCACAGCGUGGGUCAGCUGGCCAUGUACCAGGCUGCAGUGUCUGGGGCAGCAUGUGGGGUCACGCAGGCACUGCUGGCUGCUCUGGGAGAGGUCCACAGCCACUCCUUGGGAGGAAGAAGAGGAGGGGAGGGGGCAGGGCUGCUUUUCUUGCACGCUUUAUGUUUUAAGUGAAAUGGACAAAAAAAUGCUCCCUCUAGGCUGUCACUAUGGCUACAGGGGUGAGGGAGCCUUGAGCAGGAAAACAGCCAGAGGGAGGGGCGGGGAGCUGUCCCUGUGUCCUUCCCCUCAACCCGAGGCUGCCUUGCCAUCCCAACCCCAUGGGAAGGUUUUACUUGCAAAGGUUUCUGGGGCUUGCUGCGCACAAAGAGCCUUUCCCCAGCGUUUCUGGGAGGGCAGGGUUACACCUCCCUGCAGGCAUUACUGUCUCUGUCUGUACACCACUUUUCUAACUUCCCCAGAGGCAGGAAAACCAUACCAAGCAAGUAAGAUAAGGCAGGAGGCUGAGAUACCUUCAGCCCACACACAAGUACAGGGCUGAAAAUAACUGGUUUGCCAAUAACGUCAAAGAAACAAACCUUAGCACUGCUCUUUAGUUCUAUGCCACAGCUCUGUUAGGGGCUGGUUUUAGAACUGCUACCACAAGCCACAUCAGAAAGGUUGCCUUUACCUCUGGGUCUGAGUGUUUAGCACAACUGCAGCUGGUUGUGUGCUCCGUUACCACUGCCUGCCCUGGUUUUCUGUGAUGCCUUCAGAGUGGAAUUCAUUUAGAAAAUAACCAGUGCCAGACUGCACUGGCAGAAGAUGAUGAGCAAGAUCUGAGAAACACUUUUAAAUUGCUUGAAAAUGCGUCUAGGCUGUUUACUUUCCUAAUUACAGUGCCUAAUUAGCAAGCUUGUUGCAUUCAGUCGUGCUGCUUUGAUAGCUUGAUUGUGCUACAGGAGCGGGGCUUGACACUGAAGCAGUUCUGUCCUAGAUAUCUAAUGAGCUAUUCAUUUGAAAACAAAAACAUUCUUAAACUACUCUACUCAGAAGCACCCCCUAGACUGACACAUGGCCACUUCUCAGAUUUAGGUGCUGGUUACCCGUGGCAGGUUAAGUCUCUUUCCUUCCUUAGAAGUGAAAGCAGCACUGGUCAAAAGAGGCUUUCCAUUGUGGGCAUCCUAUGGAGCAAGAGGACAGAAAUAGAAAAACCACAUGCAUCCACUCUCACUGGCCUUUUGGGAGAAAGGCAGGCACUGUAUUGCAAAGCAAAGUGGAUACAUUUGUUUUCCAACUUAAAAGUUGAUGAAGGAAUGGAGGAGCAGUACAGCGUUAUGCCUACAGAGCAUAUUCAUGCACACCCAACACUCCUUGUGUGGAAGACAUGAAACUGCCUAGCCAUUGCAGAAUCUUGCCCCAGCUCCUGCAGGCAAAACAAGAGCACCUUCUCUCCCUGCUGGGGAAGGUGGUAAGCAGUGCUUCACAUGUGAAAGGAUGUUUGAGUGACACAAGUGGUGGUAUCCAAACAAAGGCCAUGCAUGAGAAUUAAAGUCAGACUACCAUCAUAGAGUGAAAACUAUUUAUUCUUAUAAAAGGAAAUAAAACAAACCCUACCAGUGUGUACAUUGUACACAUUUGAAUGACACUUACAAGAAUGAAGUUUUCAUAUACAAAGAUUACAAGCCCACACUGGUAAAGGAUGGAUACAAGCACAUAUUCAACUUGAGAUGCCUCCACUCCAGCUCACAGUACCAAUUACUCUAUGACCACAGUUGCAUAGUAUUAGCAUCCACACUAUUUUAUUCCACUAUGAACACAGAAAGCAAGAAGGAGUUUUAUUCAGAGAGCAUGUAUAUUCAUUUGAAGAGUUUAGUCGCUGGAACCUUCUCUCACUACUCUUCUGUUGCCAUCUUCAAGAGAUACUCUUUGUCGAUUUUGAAGAGCCUCCAGCCCUCUUCAGUGGACAGAUCAGAGGCACCCCUUCUCUUGUAGAACCUGAUGGAGGGCUCAUUCCACUCUGCAACUAGGAAGUGCAUACUGCUGCAGCGGCACUUGACAGCAACCUGACUCAAAUUCUUCAGGAUUUCUGAUCCAAUGCCAAGUCCUCUGUACUCAGCCAUCACAUAGAAAUCUUCAAGAUACAACAGCUUUCCAAUCCAUGGAUCGUAAGUGAAGUAAUACAUAGCAAAGCCCACAAUGCUGUGCCCUUCGGACGACCACUGUUCUUUCGGCACCUCCGCAACGAGACAGUGGUAGAACGGGUGCUCGCCAAAGCCGUCCUCAAGCAGCUCUUUCUCGGUUAGCACCACUUGAUCCUCCAUGUCCUCGUACUUGGCUAGUUCCUUGAUCAGUCGCAGCAGGUCGGAGCAGUCCUCGGGACGCGCGGCGCGGAUACUGAACGAAGCCAUUUUCGACGGCGUUUCCCCCUGCGGCCCCCUCGGCUGACGAGUCCCCGGUGUGUGAACAGGAGGAGCAGCUGUUUCUUCAUUCGUGUCCCGGGCGCGGCGGCCACCUGCGGUCAGUCAGGCUGCGAGCAUGUCCCGGCGGCGUUCAGCAGGCAGACGACUCACCCACCGACUUCGGCGACGGCUGGAACUCAACUGUGCCUCCGCCGGCGUCUCCGCCUCCAUUUAUAGACGACGGCGCUCCGCCUCCCCCGCACGAGAGCCAAUGGGAGCGCCCGCAGCUCUCGCCCCCAGCCAAUGGCAGCGCCCCUCCCCGGAAUCUUGCCUCGCCCUGCCAGCAACAGCUGCUGCGGAUGUCUCGUG
rnacentral:lncRNA from 1 species